UACGUAGGGCGCAAGCGUUGUCCGGAAUUAUUGGGCGUAAAGAGCUCGUAGGCGGUUUGUCGCGUCUGGUGUGAAAACCUCAGGCUCAACCUGGGGCGUGCAUCGGGUACGGGCAGACUAGAGUGCGGUAGGGGAGGACUGGAAUUCCUGGUGUAGCGGUGGAAUGCGCAGAUAUCAGGAGGAACACCGAUGGCGAAGGCAGGUCUCUGGGCCGCAACUGACGCUGAGGAGCGAAAGCAUGGGGAGCGAACAGG
rnacentral:rRNA from 1 species